rnacentral:rRNA from 1 species
AUUGAACGCUGGCGGAAUGCUUUACACAUGCAAGUCGAGCGGCAGCGCGGCCUUCGGGCUGGCGGCGAGCGGCGAACGGGUGAGUAAUGCAUCGGAACAUGCCCAGUCGUGGGGGAUAACACUUCGAAAGAAGUGCUAAUACCGCAUACGUCCUGAGGGGGAAAGCGGGGGAUCGCAAGACCUCGCGCGAUUGGAGUGGCCGAUGUCAGAUUAGCUAGUUGGUGGGGUAAAGGCCUACCAAGGCGACGAUCUGUAGCUGGUCUGAGAGGAUGAUCAGCCACACUGGGACUGAGACACGGCCCAGACUUCUAAGGGAGGCCGCAGUGGGGAAUUUUGGACAAUGGGGGCAACCCUGAUCCAGCCAUUCCGCGGGAGUGAAGAAGGCCUUCGGGGUGUAAAGCUCUUUCGGCAGGAACGAAACGGUGGGCUCUAACAUAGUCCGCUAAUGACGGUACCUGAAGAAGAAGCACCGGCUAACUACGUG